rnacentral:rRNA from 1 species
CCUACGGGAGGCAGCAGUAAGGAAUAUUGGUCAAUGGAGGCAACUCUGAACCAGCCAUGCCGCGUGCAGGAUGACGGCCCUAUGGGUUGUAAACUGCUUUUAUACAAGAGAAAACCCUGGUACGUGUACCAGGUUGAUAGUAUUGUAAGAAUAAGCAUCGGCUAACUUCGUGCCAGCAGCCGCGGUAAGACGAAGGAUGCAAGCGUUAUCCGGAUUCAUUGGGUUUAAAGGGUGCGUAGGCGGACUGAUAAGUCAGUGGUGAAAUCUCUUUGCUUAACAAAGAAACUGCCAUUGAUACUGUCGGUCUAGAGUAUAGAUGACGUUGGCGGAAUAUGACAUGUAGUGGUGAAAUACUUAGAUAUGUCAUAGAACACCGAUUGCGAAGGCAGCUAACGAAACUAUAACUGACGCUGAGGCACGAAAGUGCGGGGAUCAAACAGGAUUAGAUACCCUGGUAGUCCGCACCGUAAACGAUGAUUACUCGUUGUUGGCGAUAUGACAGUCAGCGACCAAGUGAAAGCGAUAAGUAAUCCACCUGGGGAGUACGCCGGCAACGGUGAAACGUCAAAUGAAUUGACGGCUUGGAGAGNGCGACGGACGACGACGAGGGAGGUAGG